ACUGUUUCGUGUGUGAAAGCUGUUGAUUAAAAAUGAAAAAUCAGGUUUGAUUUGUCUUAUUUUGUCAGUCAUUUUGUUCGUUUCUAAUGAUCAGUGAUCACCUUAAUUAGACUAAACUAAUAACCUUAAUCAAUGUAACUGGAACUGAUAAACAUUCAAUCUGUGCCAAACAAUCAUAAGAGUCAUCUUUAGGUUAAUCAAACAACAUGAAGUGCUAUUUAACUUUCCAUUUUACUCUUCCUUUCAAUGAUUAAUUCAUGUUGGAUUUUUCCUUGAUUAUAUAAUGGCCAUUGCUUUACACUUGAUUUGGCUUGGUAUCAACUAUACAUGGGUAAGUAAUCAAUAUCAGUAUUGAUUAUGGUAACUCGGAUUGUUGAGCAAUGGUUACAGGAUACACUUUGUUUCUAUGGUCAAGAUUUCUUCAACAAUUGGACUACCAUCAAAGGCUAACUUGUGAAACUUGAGUUUUUAUUCAAAAAUGAAACUCGUAAUCCGCUGACUAUCGUGAAUGGGAAUAAUCUUGGUUUUUGGUUCAGAUCUUUUCACUUUUUCUAGACCAUGAUAUUAAUACAUUCACAUUGGACAGUGAUUGUUAUAUGGAGCUAAAACAAGAAUAUUUGAUUAUGGAUUACAUGGUUUAGUUUACUAUCGAAGAACUACUUGGUUAGUUGAAACAAAAGACUUACCUUUAUGAGAGAGAUGAAGAUGAUUAGAUUGUUUUAAUCCAUUGAAAUCACUUUAAAGAUUUAAACAAUGAACAGAUCAAAAUACAAAGCAUGAAAAUUGGCGAAACUGUUCAGUGAUCAAACAACUUUCCAACAAUUAAUUAACAAUUACUUUAGUCAAUUUACUUAAUUGCUUUGUGACCUCAGUUACAAUUUGGAUAAUACACAAAUGUACAAGACCAACAAAGGCUCUGCGGACAAAUCUAUGAGGCUAUGAGAAACGAUGGAAUUGAUUCAAUCCCUAAACUGAUGGCUCGAAGACAAACCAAACACGAUUAACCUACUUUACAUUUCCAGUUUCGUCUACAUUUUCGUCGCCUUUUUCCUAAUCAUCUAUCUUCCGCCCUCCAAUGUUACAACCGAUACAUUUAUUUGCCUCAAAUAAUCAGUAGCGUAACUUUCCCGACCUAACUUGAGAUUUAAUUGAUUUACAGACUCGCUUAGUUUUUUUAUUCAUCAAUUUUUCGGUCAUAAUCAACAUAAAUCUUGAUAUAAUUGAUUUACAAUAGAUUAGCUUUUAAUUUUUAAAUUUCAGAGAUUUCAAAAUCUUUUUCCGAUUCCUAAUCAAACUUAAAUGAAUCAACUUGGAAAAACUUGAUCAGUUUCCUUUAUAAAAUUCCGUCAAAAGAUGGAGUCAUUAGUCAUUAUUGAGAAAGAUUUUGUAAUGAAGUGAAAGAUUAAUUGUUGUGAUUAAACAGCUGUACAUAUUGAAA